rnacentral:rRNA from 1 species
CGGAGAGGGACACUGAGAUACUGGUCCCAGCCCGACGGGGUGCAGCAGGCGCGAAACCUUUACAAUGCACGCAAGUGUGAUAAGGGAACCCUAAGUGCUCAUGUUUUACAUGGGCUUUUGCCAAGAGUAAAUAUCUUGGAGAAUAAGUGGUGGGCAAGACUGGUGCCAGCCGCCGCGGUAACACCAGCGCCACAAGUGGCAACCACGUUUAUUGGGCCUAAAGCGUCCGUAGCCGGUUUGGUAAAUCUCUUGUGAAAUCGUCAAGCUCAACUUGACGGCGUGCAUGAGACACUACCAAACUCGAGACCGGGAGGAGUCAAAGGUAUUUCAGGGGGAGCGGUAAAAUGUGAUAAUCCCUGGAAGAUCACCAAUGGCGAAGGCAUUUGACCAGAACGGAUCUGACGGUCAGGGACGAAGGCUAGGGGAGCGAUCCGGAUUAGAUACCCGAGUAGUCCUAGCAGUAAACGCUGCGAGCUAGAUGUUGCGCUUCUCACGAGGAUGUGCAGUAUCGAAACGAAGGUGAUAAGCUCGCCGCCUGGGAAGUACGGUCGCAAGACUGAAACUUUAAGGAAUUGGCGGGGGAGCACCACAAGGGGUGCGGCGUGCGGUUUAAUCUAACUCAACGCAGAGAACCUUACUAGAAGCGACAGCAGGAAGAAGGUCAGCUUGAAGAGCUUACCUGACGCGCUGAGAGGUAGUGCAUGGCCGCCGUCAGCUCGUGCCGUAAGGUGUCCAGUUAAGUCUGGCAACGAGCGAG